UACGUAGGGCGCAAGCGUUGUCCGGAAUUAUUGGGCGUAAAGAGCUCGUAGGCGGUUUGUCGCGUCUGCUGUGAAAACUCGAGGCUCAACCUCGGGAUUGCAGUGGGUACGGGCAGGCUAGAGUGAUGUAGGGGAGAGUGGAAUUCCUGGUGUAGCGGUGAAAUGCGCAGAUAUCAGGAGGAACACCGAUGGCGAAGGCAGGUCUCUGGGCAUUAACUGACGCUGAGGAGCGAAAGCAUGGGGAGCGAACAGG
rnacentral:rRNA from 1 species